CCUACGGGUGGCAGCAGUGGGGAAUAUUGGGCAAUGGGCGAAAGCCUGAUCCAGCCAUGCCGCGUGUGUGAAGAAGGCCUUCGGGUUGUAAAGCACUUUCAGUGGGGAAGAAAGCCUUGGGGCUAAUACCCUCGAGGAAGGACAUCACCCACAGAAGAAGCACCGGCUAACUCCGUGCCAGCAGCCGCGGUAAUACGGAGGGUGCGAGCGUUAAUCGGAAUUACUGGGCGUAAAGCGCGCGUAGGCGGUCUGAUAAGCCGGUUGUGAAAGCCCCGGGCUCAACCUGGGAACGGCAUCCGGAACUGUCAGGCUAGAGUGCAGGAGAGGAAGGUAGAAUUCCCGGUGUAGCGGUGAAAUGCGUAGAGAUCGGGAGGAAUACCAGUGGCGAAGGCGGCCUUCUGGACUGACACUGACGCUGAGGUGCGAAAGCGUGGGUAGCAAACAGGAUUAGAUACCCCGGUAGUC
rnacentral:rRNA from 1 species